rnacentral:rRNA from 1 species
UACGUAGGGGGCAAGCGUUGUCCGGAUUUAUUGGGCGUAAAGAGCGUGUAGGCGGCUAGGUAGGUCUGUUGUGAAAACUCGAGGCUCAACCUCGAGACGCCGGUGGAAACUGCAAAGCUAGAGUCCGGAAGAGGAGAGUGGAAUUCCUGGUGUAGCGGUGAAAUGCGCAGAUAUCAGGAAGAACACCCGUGGCGAAGGCGGCUCUCUGGGACGGUACUGACGCUGAGACGCGAAAGCGUGGGGAGCGAACAGG